UGAAACAUAAGCUCUCAUCUGAUCACUAAAGUUAAGCAACAAUGUGCUUGGUCAGUACUUAAAUGGGUGGCUGCUUGGGAAUACCAGGUGCUGUAAG